GUCAUCUGCAGUGUUUAUUAGCAAGAGAUGUGAUGGACAUGGUUCUUGUUACUCAGUAUUUUAAUACAAUGAAGGAGACUGGAGCUUCUUCCAAGUCAUCUGCCGUGUUCAUUCCCCGUGGACCAGGUGCUGUCAAAGAUGUUGCUUCUCAGAUCCGGGAGGGUCUUCUUCAGACUGAACUAUCCAGCAUUAGUUUAGUAAAGACAAAGGAUAAUUGAUAGCCUUGUGUAGUUUGAUGCUCUUUUAGUUUAGUAUUGAUACAGUAGCUUUAUUUGUGUUAUACAUACUUAUGUAGUCCAUAGAUUGAUACAUUCAACGUUUGGUUUAAGUAUCUUCU
rnacentral:misc_RNA from 1 species